rnacentral:rRNA from 1 species
GUUGAACGCUGGCGGCAUGCCUUACACAUGCAAGUCGAACGGCAGCAUGAUCUAGCUUGCUAGAUUGAUGGCGAGUGGCGAACGGGUGAGUAAUACAUCGGAACGUGCCCUGUAGUGGGGGAUAACUAGUCGAAAGAUUAGCUAAUACCGCAUACGACCUGAGGGUGAAAGUGGGGGACCGCAUGGCCUCAUGCUAUAGGAGCGGCCGAUGUCUGAUUAGCGAGGUGGGGCGGUAAAGGCUCACCAAGGCGACGAUCAGUAGCUAGUCGGGGAGGACGAUCAGCCACACUGGGACUGAGACACGGCCCAGACUCCUACGGGAGGCAGCAGUGGGGAAUUUUGGACAAUGGGGGCAACCCUGAUCCAGCAAUGCCGCGUGUGUGAAGAAGGCCUUCGGGUUGUAAAGCACUUUUGUCCGGAAAGAAAUCGCACUUACUAAUAUUAGGUGUGGAUGACGGUACCGGAAGAAUAAGGACCGGCUAACUACGUGCCAGCCGCCGCCGUAAAAC